CACCAGACUCCUACGGGAGGCAGCAGUGGGGGAUAUUGCACAAUGGGGGAACCCUGAUGCAGCGACGCCGCGUGGGUGAAGAAGUAUUUCGGUAUGUAAAGCCCUAUCGGCAGGGAAGAAAUUGGACGGUACCUGACUAAGAAGCCCCGGCUAACUACGUGCCAGCAGCCGCGGUAAUACGUAGGGGGCAAGCGUUAUCCGGAUUUACUGGGUGUAAAGGGGGCGCAGACGGCGAUGCAAGCCAGGAGUGAAAGCCCGGGGCCCAACCCCGGGACUGCUCUUGGAACUGCGUGGCUGGGGUGCAGGAGGGGCAGGCGGAAUUCCUGGUGUAGCGGUGAAAUGCGUAGAUAUCAGGAGGAACACCGGUGGCGAAGGCGGCCUGCUGGACUGCAACUGACGUUGAGGCCCGAAAGCGUGGGGAGCAAACAGGAUUAGAUACCCGGGUA
rnacentral:rRNA from 1 species